UUUGUGUAAGUGUAUGUGAGUGUGUGGGCUCGUGUGCCAUGGCAGGUGUGGCGUGUAGAGGACAGCUUAGAAGUUGGUUCUCUCCUUCCACCAUGUGGGUCUCAGAGACUGAACUCAGCCUCCAGGUCAAGCAUGCUUUUGCAUUGAAACCAUCUUGAUGAUCCCUGAGCUAUUCUUUGAUAACAUAUUUUGCCUGAAAAUGUUUGUGAUGCUAUUUCACAAUCAAACAGCUGUAACCAACCACUGCUUUACUGGGAACUGAUUUUCUGUUGAUUUCACAGAAGACUACCGACCGAUCCCCUGGUUUUCUGUUUUGACUGACUUCUGUUUGGUCUAUUUGGUCUUUAGCACUUAAGUUUUUCUACAGAGUCACAUGCACAGAAAGUCCUCUAGCAGGCUGUGUAGAGGUUGGUUUCUAGCACUUCGUUUAAAUUGAUGCCUGUGUCCAUUUUACCCCACAUCAAGGCCUUCCUUGGUCCUGAUCACAAAUAAAGGUUAGAACUGAGUCUGGAACUCCCCAGAGAGUCUCCUUUUGCAUGCAGCAGCAGUAGAGAAAGAUGCAACUGUACUUUGAGAGCUGGAGAGUUGAUGGGAAAUUUGCAAUGGAUUUUGUGUACAUAAAGUAACUGAACCCUAAGUGGCAAAGGAGAAAAUUCAGUUGUUUAAAAUAUAUCUCAUCACUUCUCCAAGUUUUGAGAAUUGGUGUCAUCAAGGCAGUUUUGGAAAUGGUGGCUGAAAAUGUGGCUAAAAUUUGGAGAAUUGGCUUAAGAAAUAAUUGGACAGUAAGUAUCCCCCCUUUUCUCUUUCCUUCUGUCUUUUUUCCCAGCUAGUUUCUUUCUUUACACUAGCUGGAUACUGGAUGCUCUCCCGUGAGCAUUGAACAGAAGGCCUCUGACUGGGGAAGGUAUGAUUGGAGCCCAUCCGAGGUGUCUUUUCUAGCUGCUUUUCCAGGUGACUGAGUACAAACAUUUAACCUUCAAGUAGAAGGCUUGAACUUCCCUUAAACCAGAGAAGCUCAGCCUGCAGAAGGAGGCCUCAGAGGUCCAGAAAGGUCAACCCAGCAAAGCCAUCCACAGUAAGACCUAGGAAACCAGUCCCACCUGUCACUCAGAAGACUGUCCCGAGUCUUUGCUAUUUCACUCUAAGUACAAAGACAUCUAAGAAAGCAUUUAAGGUGAAAUCAGAGACCAAAGUUAAAUAUCUAUCUAGGGCAGGAUCUUAGGAAAGAAACUUC
rnacentral:lncRNA from 1 species